AACCCUAGGUUUCUCCUCUGGACAUUUUUCCAUCCACCCCGCCUCCUUUCUUCCUCUUGCCGCAAGCAACACGAAACCACACACUUCUCCUCCCUCAUGCUCAUCUCUCUCCCACACGACCCAAUGUCACCCGUGAACGUCUCCGGUGCCGACUCCGACGACUCAGGCGCCUCCCUCGUCCUCAAGGGACGCCGCCCAUCCUCGUGCCGUCGGCCAGCCGCAUCCUCGCCGUGCGGCCUCGUCCCCUUACCACCCACCCGCCGACGGAUCUCCGAUCUAGGCGGCCUCCGCGUCGCCUCCCCGCCCGUCUCCACUUGGGCUCGCCGCCGCAUGCUGCUCCGUGGGAUCCCGGCAUCGAGACCACGCAUCCCUGAUCCACGUGUUCCUACCUAUCCCUUCCUCGUCCUCCUAGCCGGCGGAGGCAAUUGGAGGUCGUCGUUAUCCAGCCAAUCAAUUUGCCUCUUCCCGUGCCAUGUCGCAGCCUGUCAGCAAUCCCCCGUAUGUUGUUGAGCUCGACGCUGCGAAAAACGUCGUCUCCCUCGCCCCCUGCCUAUUCCAGAUGGUACAACAGGAAAUCGUGCAAUCAGACAUUUAAUCUAAGGCGGAUAAGACUCAUGUCACUAUAGCUCAUUAUGGUUUGUUACUGUUAUGGUGUUUACACUGUUAUAAUCCUCGAGAGAUCCUAGUUCCAUUUUCUGUUAUAUAAGAUGAACGAAUGUGAUGUUUGAAGUGUGAGCUGACUAGCAAUACUGGUGCACAUGAGUGUUGUUGAGGACAUGGUCUUCUUUUUGGCGUGCCCAUGUAUUGGGUGGUGCUUGCCUGCAUGGUUACUGCAACUGCAGUUCACGUGGGCGCUCCAGAUCUUCCUCCUGACGUUCUACGUGUAGCAUGACUUUCAUGCCUUCAUCAAGCUCUAAAAGUGUUGCAUUACCCCUCUUUUAGAGGAGCUCUAGGAUGAAGAAAUUUGAAGAAGCCUAAAGCCCACAAAGGAGAGAGUAGCUAGUUAUAAUGUAGUGCUAGUUAUGUUGUACAGUAGUGAGCGUAUCUCAUUGUAUGAAUGUUCUAAAGACUACAAUUUCGUAUGUUUUUAGUGGUAAUUUUGGGUAUCAUUUCAAGAAUGUUGUAUGUUCUCUUGCGAUUUUAAAUAUUUGUCAUUUCUAUAA